UUAAAUAUUUUUGUAGCCUCAUGGAACCUAGAUUUAAGGUUACAUCAUGAGUGACAGUGGCAAGGGAUUGUCUUCUUUUAUAUGGAGAAGAGAAAAAGAAAUUGAAAAGUUUUUUGAAACAUAAUUGUCAAUGAGUUUGCCUUACAACAGACACUUGGACGCCUUUACAGAAUGUUAGUUACAUGUGUUUGACUGGGCAUUUUGUUGACAUUGAAUGGAGGUUACAAAAAAAAAAAUUUAAGUUUUGGUCCAGUUCCUAAUCACCGACGGGAAGUGUUAGGUUUUGCUAUUGAGAAAACUUUGUUGGAUUGGGGAAUAGAUAAAGUUUUUGCUAUUACUGUAGACAAUGCAAGUUCCAAUGGUACAACCAUUAAUUACUUAAAGAGGAGGGUGAACAAUUGGAAGGGUAGCGUGCUCAAUGGUGAGUUCUUGCCCAUGAGGUAUGUUGCACAUAUCAUUAAUUUAAUUGUGCAAGAUGGAUUGAAACUUGUGGGAGAUUCGGUACUUCGAAUUAGGCAAGCAGUAAAAUAUAUUUGGCAAUCACCUGGUAGAACUGCAAAAUUCAAAGAGUGUGCAGAUGAGGAAAAGGUUAAUUGUAAAAAAAACAUUUGUGUUUGGAUGUACCUACUAGAUGGAAUUCCACGUAUAUGAUGUCGGACACUGCUCAAAAAUUUCAAAAAGUUUUUGAUAGAUAUGAGGAAAAAGAUCAAGAUUUUGCACUUGAUCUUUUGAGAGAUGGUGGAAAAGGAAAGCCAAUGGAAGAUGAUUGGGAUUGUGUGCUUAAAUUGCAUAAUUAGGUGUUUUAAUUCAUGCAUUACGAAUUAUAUUUUUAAUUAAAUGCGUAAUUAAUCUCAAUAAAUUAACAUUCUGUCCUGUUUAUAACAUUUGAGUUUUAUUGAAUAAAUUAUGAAUUUUUGUUAUUUUUUAUCGUAGGACGAUUAUUGGAAGCUAAAAACCGAUGGUAUUUCGUAAUCUGUGCGUAACUCUCUCAUCCGACGUCCGAUUCUAAUGAUUCAAGAUGCUGUAAAAAGAUAAGAAAACGUUAUAUAAUUUUCAUAUUUUGUGUUUUGAGAAAUACUAGCUGUAUUAAGGUCGAAAUCGGACGUGAAGUUAUCAUACGCUGUUUUAUGGACUGUUUCAGCAUCACUCCGUAAUCUGGGCGUAACUUUAUCGUCCGAGCUCCGAUCGAGACGAUUUAAAAUUCUGGGGAAAGUUGAGAAAGAGAUCUACAACUUUCGAGUUUUGAGUUUUGAGAGAUACGAACUUUAGUAUGGUCGAAAUCGGACUUGUUUGCUGGGGGAUAAAAACUUAAAAUGGAGCAAACAAAAUAAGAAAUUGAAGAAAUAAAAAAGAUGUGGGUCGGGUCCAUUGAUGUGACUCGGCCAUGCAACUUAAGAGGCGCCGGGGAGAAUUUUUUGGGCUGGCACGUGAAGGUAAACGGAGUAAUAGUGUUUCAGCAUUACCCCAGCUCGUUCGGCUCUACACAAUAGUGACUUAGACAAAAUAGAUAGAUCCUACAAUAUCUAGACAUAAAUCGAACCUAACAAUGACUCAACUAAAUGAACAUAGACUAAACUAGACAAUAAAUAAAGCUCAACUAAAUAAGUUAAAAUAAACCUAACAAUAGAUCUCAAAGGGAAAUUAAUAAAUCAUGGAAAACAACCGACAUUAACCCGCAAGCCAAGUUAUAAAACUUAGCCCCACAUGCUUACAAUCCAAAAUUUCUGGGUCAAAUUACUUCUACAAUAAAUCUUUGCAAUAAUAAAAUAAAAGACAACAACUCAAAAGAACAAUAAACUAGUUGUAUACUAAAACUAAAAGAAAACUAAUUAAUCUAACCUAAAAUCAUUCCAAUCACUAGACUAAAUGUAUACUAAAUUAAAACAACAAAUUAAUUAAACCUUAAAAGCAUUCAAAAUAACAAAAAUAAAAACAAGACAUUGAUUAAUCUAAUAAACCACUCAAAUAAUAAAGUAAAGAAAAAUAUUUAAUCCAACAUUAAAACUUGUCAAACAAUGUAUUAAAGCCACCAUUAAAAAUAAUAAACAAGAUAAGAGAGAGAGUGAAUAACCCAACAAUAACUUAAAAUAUGAAUACUCAAUUAAUAAAUAAUCCAAACAACACUUUAAAAUAUCCAUGAAAAAUGACAAUAAAACAUAAAUAAUAACUCAACAAAACAACAUUAAACAAACAAGAGAAGAGAGAGAGAGAGAUGAAAGAUGGCCGUGAGGAGUUCCUCCAACACAGCAGCAGCAGCUGCUGUGUUUUUUGCUGCUGCGCGGGACUCCAGAAAAGACCCCAACUGCUGCCCCCUCAAAAGAAAAAUAAUAUCUCAACCCUACCCUACCUCCUUUUCUUUUCUUUUCUUUUCCUUUCCUUUCUUGCCCUCCAGCCCUUCACGUGUCAGCCCAAAGAAUUCUCCCCAGCGCCUCUUAAGUUGCAUGGCCUGGUCACAUCAAUGGACUCGGCCCACAUCUUUUUAAUUUCUUCAAUUUCUUAUUUUGUUUGCUCCAUUUUAAGUUUCUGUCCCCCAGCGAACAAGUCCGAUUUCGCCCAUGCUAAAGCCUGUAUCUCUCAAAGCUCAAAACACGAAAGUUGUAGAUCUCUUUCUCAGCUUUCCCCAAAAUUUUGAAUCAUUUCGAUCGGAGCUUGGACUAGAAAGUUAUGCCCAGAUUACGGAGUAAUGCUGAAACAGUCCAUAAAACAGCGUAUUUUAACUUCACGUCUGAUUUCGACCUUGAUGCAGCUAAUAUUUCUCAAAACGCAAAACAUGAAAAUUAUAGAGCGUUUUCUUAUCUUUUUACAGCAUCUUGAAUCAUUGAAAUCGGAGGUUGGAUGAAAGAGUUACGCACAGAUUACAAAGUACCAUCGGUUUUUAGCUUCCAAUAAUCGCCUUGCGAUAAAAAAUACCAAAAAUUCAUAAUUUAUUCAAUAAAAUCCAAAUGUUAUAAACAGGACACAAUGUUAAUUUAUUGAGAUUAAUUACGCAUUUAAUUAAAAAUAUAAUUCGUAAAGCAUGAAUUAAAACACCUAAUUAUGCAAUUUAAGCACAUAAUCAGUGAAAUUCUUAAAAUGUUUCUAUGAAUUCACUUCGCGUGUUUCUGGUUCUAAUUAUGUGACUUCUAUUACUUUUUUCAAUGAAAUUUGCAUAGUUAAUGCUUUUUUGGAAGAUCGGUGCAAUAGUGAUGAUUUUGAAUUAAGUGAAAUGAUAUUCAAAAUGAAACAUAAAUAUGAUGAUUAUUGGGGGAAUCCAGAAAAAUUGGACAUGAAGAUUUUUGUUACCACCGUUCUUGAUCCAUUCUCAACUGUUUUCUCCUCCUACAUCUUCAAUUUUGAGUAAAAAGGUGAAAGAUGUUAUUUUUUUAAUUUUUGAUGAGUACAAAAAUGAGGGUAGACGAUGCAGUGGACGGUGGACUGUUGGAAAUAAAGAACAAAUUCCCGAAACCUGUGAGAAACAAAAUAGAGGAAAAAUAACGCCAAAGAAAAUCAAUCACAAGCACAAGACAAUAUUUACGUGGUUCGGCAAUUUUGCCUACGUCCACAGAGUUGCAGGGAUUUCAAUAUUAUUAGGAAGAAAACACAGAGAGUGCGGCGAUACAAUGCUCUCCCUCUCGCUCUCUCGCAGGUACAACCACGCCAACCCCAAUCACCCGAAAGCAAUCCUUUUUAUAUGUUGCCCAAGCCUUCGCUCCAUGAACUAAGCCUUAGGAUAGAAAUCUCUAAUUAAGUAGAGGUCGGGUCGUCAUCUAAAUUAAAACACAAUUAGGCUCCACAAAAGCCCAACAUGGACCUGGUGGUAAAACUUCUGAUAUUGGCUCUAGUUCUUCUAGUGGUAUGGUGGAUGCUGAGCAACCAUCAAUGAAGAAAAGGAUGCUUACGGUAGAUAAAUUCAAGAGGCACAGAUCAGAAAAAGAAGGUGCGGAAGGCAAGAGUGAUCUUGAUAGAUAUCUUUCCGAGGACCUUGAAGAGGCUAGUCAUGAAUUUGAUAUUUUAGGAUGGUGGAAGAUAAAUAAUCCAAUGUUUCCUAUCCUUUCACAGUUUGCACGUGAUGUUUUGGCUAUAUUCAUAGCUACUGUUGCCUUUGAGUCUGCAUUUAGUAUGGGAGGUCGUAUUCUUUACUCUUUUAGGACAUCAUUGACUCCUAAGAUUGUGAAGGCUCUUAUAUGUUCUCAAGAUUAGUUGUGAAAUUCACCAUUACCACUUAACUAUGAAGAAAGCCUUGAAGAACUUGAUAAACUUGAGAAAGAAUUCGAUAAAUUUGGCGUAAAUUCGUCUAGUAUUGACACUGUCGAUGAUAUAUUGAUGUCAAGUACUAGAUUAUUUUGUGGAAGAUUUUGAUCGCUUUCAUUAAAUUUUUAUCUUUUUUUUCCAAGGAGACCCCCUAAAAUCUAAAUCUGGACUCAGUUAUUUACAGAUUAUUGGCCACAUUAGAAGCCUUCUGCCAAAG